AUUGAACGCUGGCGGCAUGCUUUACACAUGCAAGUCGAACGGUAACAGGCCUUCGGGUGCUGACGAGUGGCGAACGGGUGAGUAAUGCAUCGGAACGUGCCCAGAGGUGGGGGAUAACGCAGCGAAAGCUGUGCUAAUACCGCAUGUGAUCUGAGGAUGAAAGCGGGGGACCAGGCAGCAAUGUUUGGCCUCGCGCCUUCGGAGCGGCCGAUGUCAGAUUAGGUAGUUGGUGGGGUAAAGGCCUACCAAGCCGACGAUCUGUAGCUGGUCUGAGAGGACGACCAGCCACACUGGGACUGAGACACGGCCCAGACUCCUACGGGAGGCAGCAGUGGGGAAUUUUGGACAAUGGGCGCAAGCCUGAUCCAGCAAUGCCGCGUGCGGGAAGAAGGCCUUCGGGUUGUAAACCGCUUUUGUACGGAACGAAAAGGCUCUGGCUAAUACCUGGGGCUGAUGACGGUACCGUAAGAAUAAGCACCGGCUAACUACGUG
rnacentral:rRNA from 1 species